rnacentral:rRNA from 1 species
ACUCAAAUGAAUUGACGGGGGCUCGCACAAGCGGUGGAACAUGUGGUUUAAUUCGACACUACGCGAGGAACCUUACCUAGGCUUGACAUGUACUUGACCGCUGUAGAAAUACAGUUUUUUGGGCUUCGGUCCAAACGGGUACACAGGUGCUGCAUGGCUGUCGUCAGCUCGUGUCGUGAGAUGUUGGGUUAAGUCCUCUAACGAGCGCAACCCUUGCUAUCAGUUGCAACUACGAAAGUAGGCACUCUGAUGGGACUGCCUGGGAAACCAGGAGGAAGGUGGGGACGACGUCAAGUCAUCAUGGCCCUUAUGCCUAGGGCUACACACGUGUUACAAUGGCCAAUACAAAGGGCUGCAAGCUCGCAAGAGUAAGCUAAUCUCAUAAAAUUGGUCUAAGUUCGGAUUGAGGUCUGCAACUCGACCUCAUGAAGUUGAAAUCGCUAGUAAUCGCGUAUCAGAACGACGCGGUGAAUACGUUCUCGAGCCUUGUACACACCGCCCGU